CCAGACUCCUACGGGAGGCAGCAGUGAGGAAUAUUGGUCAAUGGACGCAAGUCUGAACCAGCCAUGCCGCGUGCAGGAAGACGGCUCUAUGAGUUGUAAACUGCUUUUGUACGAGGGUAAACGCAGAUACGUGUAUCUGUCUGAAAGUAUCGUACGAAUAAGGAUCGGCUAACUCCGUGCCAGCAGCCGCGGUAAUACGGAGGAUUCAAGCGUUAUCCGGAUUUAUUGGGUUUAAAGGGUGCGUAGGCGGUCCGGAAGGUCAGCGGUAAAAGCCCGGGACUCAACCCCGGCGAGCCGUUGAAACUGUCGGACUAGAGACGGCGAGAAGUACGCGGAAUGCGCGGUGUAGCGGUGAAAUGCAUAGAUAUCGCGCAGAACUCCGAUUGCGAAGGCAGCGUACCGGCGCCGGACUGACGCUGAGGCACGAAAGCGUGGGUAUCGAACAGGAUUAGAUACCCCUGUA
rnacentral:rRNA from 1 species